rnacentral:rRNA from 1 species
GAGCAACCUGCCCUCGACUCCGGGAUAACCACCGGAAACGGUGGCUAAUACUGGAUAUGACCUCUUGCCGCAUGGUGGGGGGUGGAAAGUUUUUCGGUCGGGGAUGGGCUCGCGGCCUAUCAGCUUGUUGGUGGGGUGAUGGCCUACCAAGGCGACGACGGGUAGCCGGCCUGAGAGGGUGACCGGCCACACUGGGACUGAGACACGGCCCAGACUCCUACGGGAGGCAGCAGUGGGGAAUAUUGCGCAAUGGGCGGAAGCCUGACGCAGCGACGCCGCGUGAGGGAUGAAGGCCUUCGGGUUGUAAACCUCUUUCAGCUCCGAAGAAGCGAGAGUGACGGUAGGAGCAGAAGAAGCACCGGCUAACUACGUGCCAGCAGCCGCGGUAAUACGUAGGGUGCAAGCGUUGUCCGGAAUUAUUGGGCGUAAAGAGCUCGUAGGCGGCUCGUCGCGUCUGCUGUGAAAGCCCGGGGCUUAACCCCGGGUCUGCAGUGGGUACGGGCGGGCUAGAGUGCGGUAGGGGAGACUGGAAUUCCUGGU